rnacentral:pre_miRNA from 1 species
CAUGUACUCCCUCCGUCCGGAAAUACUUGUCAUAGAAAUGGAUGUAUCUAGACGUAUUUUAGUUAUAGAUACAUUCAUUUUCAUCCAUUUCCGCGACAAGUAAUUCCGGACGGAGGGAGUAGAAA